rnacentral:lncRNA from 1 species
AUACACUCAUGGGUACGAGCCGUAUGUUGGGGUAUGGAUGGUAAGGUCCAUUCGUAUGCUGACUAGUGUUGGUUUGUGGAAUGGAUUUUGGUUACUGGAAUGGAUAAGACUUAGGGGUAUGAGUUGUAUUGGUGGAAAUAGAUUGUUUGGUUCCUUAACUUAAUCUUAGACUUGGUUACUUAGGUUGGAUCUGAGUAUGAGUGUCUCACCGUGAGCCGUAACCC